UACGUAGGGGGCGAGCGUUGUCCGGAUUUACUGGGCGUAAAACGCUUGUAGGUGGCCACGCCAAGUCGGACGUGAAAUCUCCCGGCUUAACUGGGAGGGGUCGUUCGAUACUGGCGGGCUCGAGGCAGGUAGGGGGAAGCGGAAUUCCCGGUGUAGUGGUGGAAUGCGUAGAUAUCGGGAGGAACACCAGUGGCGAAGGCGACUUCCUGGCCUGUUCUUGACGCUGAGGCGCGAAAGCCAGGGGAGCAAACGGG
rnacentral:rRNA from 1 species